rnacentral:rRNA from 1 species
AGUCAUAUGCUUGUCUCAAGAUUAAGCCAUGUAUGUCUAAGUACAAGCCGUGUUUACACGGCGAGAACGCGGACGGCUCAUUAAAUCAGUCGUGGUCCAUAUGGGCUAGAGUUAAUCCUACUUGGAUAACUGUGGUAAUUCCAGAGCUAAUACAUGCAACUCUUAUCCUGACGUAGCGCGGCUUAUCUCACGGUUUGUCGUAGCGCUGACGGAUGCUUUUAUUAGACCAAACCGCUGGGUGCGUGUUCGUGUUUAUUCGCGGAUGCGUACGGCUCGUUUAAUGGUGACUCUGGAUAACCAUUAGAGGAAGUACAAGUCGUAACAAGGUUUCCGUAGGUGGUCAUAGCUGUGUUUCCUGAUUAUCAGCUAUCAACCGUUCGUUAUGUGCGCACGAUGGCUUUGACGGGUAACGGGGAAUCAGAGUUCGAUUCCGGAGAGGCAGCCUGAGAGACGGCUACCACGUCCAAGGACGGCAGCAGGCACGCAAAUUACCCAAUCCCAGCAUCUGGGGGAGGUAGUGACGAAAUCUAACGAUGCGGGCGCCCUUUCUGGGGCCCCGCAAUCGGAAUGGCCACUUUCUAAACAACCUGUUGAGAACCUACUGAAGGGCAAGUCUGGUGCCAGCAGCCGCGGUAAUUCCAGCUUCAGUAGCAUCUAUUAAAGUUGCUGCGGUUAAAAGGCUCGCAGUUGAAUGUCAGUAUCGAGCGCAGGUCAGGUGGACGCUGGGGCGUGAACAUCCAAGGCGCUUCGCUUGUGUCGAUUGCAGAUGUGCGCACGUGCGCGUGUGUGUUCGUACGAAAGUUCGUUCAUAUUGCGUGUGCGGGUGUGUGUUUCUUUCGGCUUUGAGUUGUGUCGUUCACAUGCCCCCGUCCGUAACAAGCCUCCUCGCUUGUGUACAUAACGGAAUCUGUAUUACGGAGUGUGCGUUGCGAGGAGUUGUAGCACUGCGUUCUCUGCCUUACUUUCUCUCGUGUGUGUAUCUCGCUUUUGUGGGUGCGCGUGCGGGUGAGGGUCUGUGUGGCGGGCGUACGUUGUCUCUCUCUUUUGCGCGUACGUUAAGCUCCAUCGGUUCUAUGGUCACCCUGAGUAAAUCAGAGUGCUCAGAGCAGUCGUAGGGGCCUUGUGCCCUUUGAACAGUCUAGCGGACUGACUUGGUUUUGCAUGGUAUGUCGAAAGACGACGUCUAGCGCUGGCUCAGAGUGUUUGUUAAUCAGUGGUACAAGCCAGCCUAGACGUAAUGAUUAAAAGGGACAGUCGAGGGCACUGGUAUUGCGAGGCGAGAGGUGAAAUUCUAUGACCCCCGCAAGACCUCCUGAAGCGAAAGCGUCUGCCAAGGAUGUUUUCAUUAAUCAUGAACGAAAGUUAGAGGAUCGAAGGCGAUCAGAUACCGCCCUAGUUCUAACCCUAAACGAUGCCAACCACCAAUCCGCGUGUAGCACCUUUCUUAACGGGCUCGGCGGGCAGCUCCUUACUUACGGGAAACCAGAGUCUCUGGGUUCCGGGGGGAGUCUGGUUGCAAAGCUGAAACUUAAAGGAAUUGACGGAAAGGCACCACCAGGCGUGGAGCCUGCGGCUUAAUUUGACUCAACACGGGCCAUCUCACCAGGCCAGCACUCUUGUACGAUUGACAGAUUGAGAGCUCUUUCUCGAUUUAGUGGAUGGUGGUGCAUGGCCGUUCUUAGUUGGUGGAGUGAUCUGUCUGGUUA